UACGAGGGGUGCAAGCGUUGCUCGGAAUUAUUGGGCGUAAAGGGUAGGUAGGUGGUCUCAUUUGUCUGAUGUGAAAUCCUUGGGCUUAACUCAAGAAGUGCGUCAGAAACGGUGAGACUAGAGUCUUGGAGAGGGUCGUGGAAUUCCCGGUGUAGCGGUGAAAUGCGUAGAGAUCGGGAGGAACACCAGAGGCGAAGGCGGCGACCUGGACAAGUACUGACACUCAAAUACGAAAGCGUGGGGAGCAAACAGG
rnacentral:rRNA from 1 species